CUGCGGUGGAAGGCUUCGAACCUCCAACAUCUCCUGCUUCAAAGGCAGGCGACUUUACCAGUUUGUCCACACCGCA
rnacentral:tRNA from 1 species